rnacentral:rRNA from 1 species
AUACGUAGGGAGCGAGCGUUGUCCGGAAUUACUGGGCGUAGAGGGCGUGUAGGCGGGGAUGUAAGUUGGAUGGGAAAGCCCGGGGCUCAACCCCGGAACUGCAUCUGGAACUGCGUCGCUUGAGUGGGGGAGAGGGAAGCGGAAUUCCCAGUGUAGCGGUGAAAUGCGUAGAUAUUAGGAAGAACACCAGUGGCGAAGGCGGCUUUCUGGAUAGUAACUGACGCCGAGGCGCGAAAGCGUGGGUAGCGAACAGGAUUAGAUUCCCUGGUAGUCCACGCCGUAAACGAUGGAUACUAGGUGUAGGAGGUAUCGACCCCUUCUGUGCCGGAGUUAACGCAAUAAGUAUCCCGCCUGGGGAGUACGGCCGCAAGGUUGAAACUCAAAUGAAUUGGCGGGG